UACGUAGGGGGCUAGCGUUGUCCGGAUUUAUUGGGCGUAAAGAGCGUGUAGGCGGCCAGGUAGGUCUGCUGUGAAAACUCGAGGCUCAACCUCGAGACGUCGGCGGAAACCAUCUGGCUAGAGUCCGGAAGAGGAGAGUGGAAUUCCUGGUGUAGCGGUGAAAUGCGCAGACUAUCAGGAAGAACACCCGUGGCGAAGGCGGCUCUCUGGGACGGUACUGACGCUGAGACGCGAAAGCGUGGGGAGCGAACAGG
rnacentral:rRNA from 1 species